GCAUCUGUGGUUCAGUAGUAAAAUGCUCGCCUGCCACGCGCGGGCGGCCCGGGUUCGAUUCCCGGCCGAUGCA
rnacentral:tRNA from 1 species